UAAUAAGUUGGCAGAAUAGUGCCACCGACUUAGGAUCGGUUCAAGGGUAACCCCACUUAUUAU
rnacentral:tRNA from 1 species